UACGUAGGGCGCAAGCGUUGUCCGGAAUUAUUGGGCGUAAAGAGCUCGUAGGCGGUUUGUCGCGUCUGCUGUGAAAACCUAAGGCUCAACCUUGGGCUUGCAGUGGGUACGGGCAGACUAGAGUGCGGUAGGGGUGACUGGAAUUCCUGGUGUAGCGGUGGAAUGCGCAGAUAUCAGGAGGAACACCGAUGGCGAAGGCAGGUCACUGGGCCGCAACU
rnacentral:rRNA from 1 species